AACGAACGCUGGCGGCAUGCCUAAUACAUGCAAGUCGAACGAGAUCUUCGGAUCUAGUGGCGCACGGGUGCGUAACGCGUGGGAAUCUGCCCUUGGGUUCGGAAUAACGUCGGGAAACUGACGCUAAUACCGGAUGAUGACGUAAGUCCAAAGAUUUAUCGCCCAGGGAUGAGCCCGCGUAGGAUUAGCUAGUUGGUGGGGUAAAGGCCUACCAAGGCGACGAUCCUUAGCUGGUCUGAGAGGAUGAUCAGCCACACUGGGACUGAGACACGGCCCAGACUCCUACGGGAGGCAGCAGUAGGGAAUAUUGGACAAUGGGGCAACCCUGAUCCAGCAAUGCCGCGUGAGUGAUGAAGGCCUUAGGGUUGUAAAGCUCUUUUACCCGGGAUGAUAAUGACAGUACCGGGAGAAUAAGUCCCGGCUAACUCCGUGCCAGCAGCCGCCGUAAGAC
rnacentral:rRNA from 1 species